UACGUAGGGUGCGAGCGUUGUCCGGAUUUAUUGGGCGUAAAGAGCUCGUAGGCGGUUUGUCGCGUCGGCCGUGAAAUCUCCACGCUUAACGUGGAGCGUGCGGUCGAUACGGGGCAGACUUGAGUUCGGCAGGGGAGACUGGAAUUCCUGGUGUAGCGGUGAAAUGCGCAGAUAUCAGGAGGAACACCGGUGGCGAAGGCGGGUCUCUGGGCCGAUACUGACGCUGGAGGAAGCGAAAGCGUGGGGAGCGAACAGG
rnacentral:rRNA from 1 species